UUGAGACCUACACCCUAGUAUCUUGGUUUUAUUGGUGUUACCUGGAGUUAUUGCCCAAAGCCUGUAGUACCUAAAACUUUGACAUCAAUACUGCUUCACUUAUCUUAAAAAACAGUGUGUGUGUGUGGUUUUUUUUCAUAAUGUUGGGAUAGUUUACAGUUACAUAUGUAAAGGAAAGUAAUGCAAGUAAUAUUGUUAGGAAAUGCAUAAGCAGGGGGAAAAAUAAUAGGGGAGAAAAAGAAGACUAUUGUGAUAGUUUUCAUUAAAAGCAAACAUUUUUACAUCACUAUUAUAUUUUUUUUUUUCCCCAAACAAUCCUACAGCAAUCCUGUACAGCUCCUUAAAGUAACCUUUCAUUUCUUGCAGAAUUUUUACCUUCUUCAUCAGCAGAAAUCCCAGUGGCAAACACAUAGAUCCUGAAGAUCAGAUUUGAUUCAGUAAGCAUCCACAGGAAUUAAUGGGAAUGUGGAGAUAGAAUUGAGAGCUGAAGACUGUCUGAGAAAAUUCGGAAAACCCAGGUAGAGUGACAGGUGUACAAGAAAUGGAAUAAUCUAACCUGAGAGUGUGCAAGCAUUCUGGAAAUACAAAACCUAAGGAUUCUGUCUAUGUGGUUUUUUGUAUUCUCACCAGUGGCCACAGUCCUCCAAGGAUUGAUGAAGAAGAGCCAGCACCUACUCUGUGUGACUGGAAUUUUGUACCAUAGUGUCCAGGGCAGUUCCCAGGCUGGGGUGAAUGCUGCGAGGUGGUCCAGGCGACUCUAUGGAACAUUCUCCAAUGGGCUAGUAGAAUGAGAAGAUCCAAAAGUAGUUUGGAAAACAAGGAGAAACAUCACCUCUCAUGACGGUAAACUUACCGAGAAGGUAAUUCAUGUUAGACUGUUGUUGCACAGCCCGCUCUUAAAGCUCAUGUAUGUAACAUGUAGCAGAAAACUAGUAGGGAAUGCUGUUUGAAUUUUCAUACUAAGUCCUCUGACUUUCUACCCCUUUCCUUGUGUGAGGGAGAAUUUGGAGGCUAUAUUUUAUGGAACUUUUCUUGCUUUCCCUUGAAAUUGUGCAAGAGCAUAAAUAAAAAAUUUACAGUGACUUAACA
rnacentral:lncRNA from 1 species